AGUGCAACGCCCAAAGAAAUGUCCAACUUGUUCUUGAAAGCAAAUAUGAUUGAUCCUGCAUGUUCCGCUGCAUUCCCCACGAUGGGUAGCAAGAUUAUGCUAAUAAAGCUGACAGAAAUGCCCCAAGAAUCAGAUGCAGCCUCAAUUGUGCCCACAACAUACUCAGAUAAUAAUGCUAUAAUCAUUGUCAUGCCAAGUAACCAAGAAAAUGCACUGGAAAAUCCUAUCACUGCCUUUUCUUCUUCUUCUUCUCCUUCCUCCUGAGAUUCAAACAAUUUCCUGUGAGUUUUCAGCUGGAAGAAGAUAUAAGCAACAUAUGCUAAGAGCAUAACAAUGCUGCUAGCUCUAGACAGCUCAAGGGUAUAGUAGAAAGUAACAGGUCCUUCCCCUAUAGCAUAUCUGAACAUUAGUGGCAACAUGUGGCACAGCAACCCCAACAGUAGAAGUAGUGAGUUGACAUCAGCUUGCUUUCUAUCAUAUCUUUGUUCCUUUUUCAGGUUGGCCAAGCCUCCACAAGCAGAGAGGUCCCAAGAACAAGGAGGAGGUUUGACAAGAUGGAACCCAAUAGGGAGUACUUCAAGACGUGUAUUUUAUUUUGGUAAAGAGCAAACAAUGCUAUUAUCAAUUCUGUUGCAUUACCACAAGUUGCAUUAAGAAGCCCUCCAACUGUUGGACCAGUGUAGUAUGCAAUUUGUUCAGUGAGGAAGCUGACACGUUCUGCAAGUGGGGUAAGUCCAAGUAAACUCAAAGCAAAUAGCCAAGCUCUGCCAAAUUUAUAAAAAUCAGCAGCUAUAGCAAGAGGAAUGGCUGGGA
rnacentral:misc_RNA from 1 species